rnacentral:rRNA from 1 species
UACGUAGGUGGCAAGCGUUGUCCGGAUUUAUUGGGUUUAAAGGGUGCGUAGGCGGCCCUGUAAGUCAGUGGUGAAAUACUCCAGCUUAACUGGAGGGGUGCCAUUGAUACUGCAGGGCUUGAGUACAGAUGAAGUAGGCGGAAUUGACGGUGUAGCGGUGAAAUGCAUAGAUAUCGUCAAGAACGCCGAUAGCGAAGGCAGCUUACUAAGCUGUAACUGACGCUGAGGCACGAAAGUGUGGGGAGCAAACAGG